GGGCUGGAACGAUAUGGUCGAGCACCUUGGCAUCUUGCCUUUAUUUAGUAGAGCAGUGAAGAAUGGACACUUGGAAGAAAAAGCAUGUGGGGAAGAUUUGCAGCAAAGGGCCCCACCUGGACUUGAACCCGAGCCACUGCAUUGAGCCUUGUGGCAUAUGGUUGCCUGCUCAGUCAGCAGCCCAAGCCUGAGCCAAUCUGUAGGACAGCCGGACCCGAGGGACCCUCUAGCCACCAGCUGACUGACCAAGCGGUUUACUCAAAGGCACAAUUAGAGGGUCUUUGUUUCACCCGGAGUGGCCC